rnacentral:rRNA from 1 species
CCCUUAGAUGUUCUGGGCCGCACGCGCGCUACACUGAUGCAUUCAACGAGUUUCUUCCUGGUCCGAGAGGAAUGGGUAACCUUUUGAAAGUGCAUCGUGAUAGGGAUAGACUAUUGCAAUUAUUGGUCUUCAACGAGGAAUUCCUAGUAGACGUAGUUCAUCAGACUGCAUCGAUUACGUCCCUGCCCUUUGUACACACCGCCCGUCGCUCCUACCGAUUGAAUGCUCAGGUGAGCCAUUCGGACUUUCAUCAUGCUGGUUUCCAGUUUUGAUGAAGGAAAGUCUUGCGAACCUUAUCAUAUAGAGGAAGGAGAAGUCGUAACA